GCUUUUGUUUGUUAUAAGCAGCAAACAGGUAUUGUUGGAAGCUUAAAUAAUGCAAGCUCUUCCAUUUCCAUGGAGCCAAGACAGGCUGGAUGAAGCCUUUUUUUUUAGCACAAGUGGUAGAAAUUGACAAGUUCACAUAAAUUGUUGGAGGUAACCUAGCAAGGUGGGUGAGAGAGAGCUUAAUUCAAAUGUGGUGCUACUCAACUCAUGUGCCUAUGCAGUGGUAAGACAGGUGAGGGGCUCAUUUCAGGUGCGGUGCCGUCCUCAUCCCCAGCUAGCGGUUCCCCAGGUAAGAGCUAAUUUUAAGUGUAGUGGUUCCCAAGUGUCAGGCAUUAGCAAGGUUGGAAAGAAAGCUUAUUCUAGUUGUGAUACUACAACAUGCCCAUGGAAGGAGGUCAAUGAUCUAUGUGGUUGGAUGAACCUAUUUUGAUGGGUCGUGUAACCGUCUAAGUUCACCGUUAGCAGAUAUUUUCCUCUUUGGUAUUUCCCUUUCGAACUUCCCUCAAGAUUUCUAAAACGCGUCCACUAGGGAGGAAUUUUCACACCCUUCUAAAUAAUGUUUCAUCCUCCCCAACUAAUGUGGGAUAUCACAAAAACCAACCUUCUUCGGGUCCAACAUCCUCGCUAGCACUCGUUUCCUUCUCCAAUCAAUGUGGGAUCCCCCCAAUCCACCCCCCUUCGGGGCUCAGUCUUCUCACUGACACAUUGCCCAGUGUCUGACUCUUGAUACCAUUUUUCGAUUUGUGCGUGUCAGUCAUUCUUGCGUAAAGGCCAUGCUAAUCUUUUUUGAUACCAAAUGUAACGUCACUAAUUAACCUAAGAAAAUUAAGGACGUUA